ensembl:lncRNA
CAGCGUCGCAUGAGCAGAGCAAAGUCACUCUCCCCCUUGACAAGAUAACUUAGAUUAGGCAAAAGAUUUAGGAGAGAAAUAUAAGGUUCCCUGGCCCCUGUCCAGAGUCACACUUCCUAAAACCCAGAUGGACGGCACUGCGGGGGACAAGAGAACAUAGACAUUGACGAGCUUUGGAGAAGCCGGCCCUGCACCCAUCUCUUCACUCGGUGACCAGGCGGAGCCCCAGGGAGGGUGAGAUACCAGGGAGAUAGGAGGGAUCCAAGAGCAGGGGAUCCGGGCCUUCCAUCCUGGGGCAGCUCCAGGAGGCAACAAGGCUGCAGACAAGAAACACUGCGUGGAACAUCUAGGCAGGCGGAAAUCAAGGUGUCAGCAGGGCUGGUGGCUUCAGGCGGCUCCAGAGCAGAAUCCGUUCCUUGCCUCUUGUGGCUUCUAGAGGCUGCCUGUGCUCCACAGCUGUGGCCCCAUGCUCCGUCUUCAGAGCACACACUCCAACCUCUGCUCGGUCAUCACACCAUCUCUCCUCCUCGCUGACAUUGGCCCUCUCGCCUCCUGCUCACAAGGACCCUUGUGAUUCCAUUGGGCCCACUUCGAUAAUCGGGAUCAUCUCUCCAUCUCAAGAUCCUUAACUUAAUCCCAUCUGCAGUGUCCCUGUGCCAGAUGCUCACCUUUGGAACCCAGCCACCACGUUGCAAGGAAGCCCAGGCCCCAUGGAAAGGUACGCUUGAGGAAGAAACAAGCCCGCCCCGCAACAGCCAGCACCAACUUGCCAGCCAUGUGGAUAGGAAGUGGAUCCUCCAGUCCCAACCAAGCCUCCAGAUACUGCAGCCUUGGCUCACAUUUGACCACAGCUUUAUGAGAGCCAGAAUUACCCGCCAAGCCUCUUCCAGAUCCCUGAUGCUUAGAAACAGUGAGAGGUCACUCAAGUUCUUAUUUGCAGUCCCUGGAACAAGACCCGCCUCCUCUCCUCCAGGCCUGUGAACAUUCUCAUCCCCUCCUCCUCUACAUGAGACCUCCAUGGUUUGCCCCCUGCAGCCAGGUUCGUCAGCCCUCUCUACAUGUGGCCACACUGCUCCAUGCUUGCCCCAUGCUCACACUCCUCACUGUCCACUGGCCAUAUUAAAGGUGCACUAGCUUCUCCCAGAGGCUGCCAACUGAGGUCAGAGACGACUAACUGUGACCUCAGGAAUGAGGGCUCCAAUGUCAGAGGCAGCCAGCAUCCGAGGGGCCAGAGUGUAGCCGUCAACACAGAUCGUGAGGUCCCAAACACCCUCGACCUCGGCUCACAGAGAUCUUUCUUCCUUGUCCCGAAGUGGAAGGGCUGGGCUGCUGUGGGCAUGGCUGACAAAGCUUCUCCAUAACGCGUUAGCAAUUUCUGCUCACAUUCAGCAAACGUCCUUGAUGGGUGUGGACAUCGCAUUAGCAGCUCUUGAAUUAUUCUCUUGUGAAGGAGAGACCUGCCCAGGGCCAGUGAUCGAAUUCUAAGCGAGAUAACAUCGUGGGCAGGGCCCUAACACGGUGCCGAUCCAGUGACCCUGGAUAAAGGGGCCCCUGGGUCUACCAGCCUCCCUCCCACAUACUGUUUUCUCUGCUGGGCAGAGCAGCCUCUUCCACACUGCCUGGGGGGUUUGUGCUCUGCCCUACUCUUCUGCUCCUCUGACCCUGUCCAAAGUCCCUGUCCUCACCUUGGAGGUGGUCUCCUCACAGCAGACGGGGAUGGCUUUGAUGUUCAUGCUCGACUGCGUGCAAUACAGAGCCUCCCUCCUGUGGGACUCUCUCUGCCUUUACUUCCUGAGGGCAGGUGGGUCUCCAUCAGGCUGAGAGCUCCCCGGACAGAGCCUGUGUAUCCUGGGAGUUCUCAUCCUUCUCCCCCUGCUCUCCAAGCACCUACUGGGCUCUGUUCACGGAGGGAGCUGAACUUGAAGGCGACCCUGGCACUUAGCAAAGGCCUGCAAAGAGAGCCAAACCUGGAAGCCUGGUGAAGCAAUGGCGCAUUCAUUCCACGGUGCCCCCGGACUCUGGAGAGCGGGGAGUGGAGGGGCACAUUCAGACGCCAGGCGAGUGCGGCUGUCCUCCCGGCCAGGCACAACAACAUGCUUCGGUUCAGCUGGAAGACUUCACUAGCCUCCAGAACUGAUGGCGCCUUGGUCCAGUGCCUGCCACCGUCUCCUCCUCCCCCGUUAAUGCACUCGUUGUUCACUAUGUGUGCUGCGAGGUGUUUUUCCAGGUGGUGGGUUCCAGGGGGAAUUGAAUUUCCCUAACAAGCAGGCUUGCAAAUAACUAGGCAGGGCCGGGAGCGAGAGGAAGGCAGCUCCUAUUAGAUUCUAACAGUGGCAACCCACAGCCCAACCCUCCCGGGAGCAACCUGCCCAGACUAGAGCAUGGGGAAGAAAUUCUAGAAGCAUCUUCUUUCCCAAGUUUCCCAUUCCUCAAAUAGAUCUUGGUUAGUUUUCUCUGCCAAUUUGCUGGUUUGGCUUGGAGAGCAUGGGCGGGGCAGGAGAAGGGCUGAAACAGAGGAUAGAGAAGAAGAAAAAGAUAAACCCUUUAUAUUUGUGUAAUGCACUGGCCUCUCUCCUCCAGGAUAUCCCAGGACUGUAGCACCUCUGAGGAUUGCUUUGUGAUGCACACAGUCCUCAUCCUCUGUCCAGGCCUGGACUGUGGCAGGGCAGCGAGGCCCUGAGGGGGGACUGUCCUGUCACGCCUCCUCAGGAGCAGGAUUAGGAGAGCAGAUGUAGCCUGUUCUCGGGAGGCUCCUCCCCCUCUGCCCUGCACGCUGCCGCCUGAACGGAAGGGCAGGCUCAGAGGCUUCCUCAGAGCCCUCCUCCCACUACAGAUGCGUGGAGCAUAAGAGGUCACCUGCUCCAGUCUCCAGCCUCCAGGCGGGAAAAUUCCACAGCUUCCAGAGCGGACAGAAGACUCAGGGCUGCUCUUCAACCAAGACGGGGCAAACGUCAGAUAUAAGAGGGGCCUGGGGCUAGGACCUAUUGAGGCUGCUCUGUGGUUUGGUGGCACGCUGCCUCGUGUCAUCAGGGGUUGUCAGCUGCUGCUCUGGAGUCUAGGGUGUGUCUCCUUGAAGGCCCUGACUCAGAUCUUCCCUCCUCUCUCUGACCUUUCGCACUUCCAAGCAGAGCUGACCGUUCAGGGCUCCAGCAGCAGAUUGGACCCUCUGUGACAGCAUUUAUCAGCUGGGUUGGGAGCCUCUGCCCUUCCCUCUUCACCAGGCGAUGGAGCUGCCUGAGGGAGAUGACCAGGCUUCCUCCUCUGACUGGCUGAAAGCGUCUCCAGGUCUCUCAGGUCAGAAGGCCGCAGAGCAGGCUCAUGGAGAUGAAGGCUUAGUUUGCCACAUCACAGAAGCCUUGCGAGUGUUUCUGCCAUGUUCUCCUCUGCAUGGAGGAUGCCCUGCCCGUGGAACAGGGACAGUCAUGAAGAAUGGCCAGAGGACCCUGGACUGAAUGAUUCACCAGAAGCAGGAGUGCCUUCUGGAAGUCUGCAGAAAACUUGAGAUGGGCAUUAGACUUUGCAAAAUCCAGGCAGCGACGAUGGUUCAAGGCAUAUUUCCCUUGAUCUUCAGAAGAGUGUGACUACCUCUGGUCUCGUCUGUGGUGUCUCAGUGGCAGUAUGUGUGUAAGAAGGGGGAGGUUUCCGUGUCUGUAUAGUUGCUGGCUGCAUUUGCACCCAUACUUAAAGGUGUGGGUGUUCAUGUGCUUCUUCUGCUUUUGUGUAGGGAUAUUAUUACACAUUGUAUCUUUGUUGGAGAUGCUGCUAAAUGUUCAUGUGAUCAUACUUUUCUUCCUCACUGAGUCUUCAUAGAGGGAAACUGAGUCCCUUCCCACACCUUGAGGAGUAGAGGCUUUCCCAGGAUCUGAGCCCUGCCAAGUAACAUGCGGUCCCUGCUCCCAUCU